rnacentral:misc_RNA from 1 species
AGAAUAUGUUUUAGGUGCAUAACAUGUAAGAAAGCAAAAUUUAAAGUUUUACCUUAAAGAUUGUAUAUGCCUUUGAAUGUGCCUAGUGAACCAUGGGUAGACAUUUCUAUGGACUUUAUUUUGGGUUUGCCUAAGUCCAAGAGAAGGUAUGAUUCCAUUUUUGUUGUUAUUGACAGAUUCUCAAAGAUGGCACAUUUUAUACCAUGUAACAAAACUGAUGAUGCAUUGUAUGUCGCUAAUUUGUUUUUCAAAGGAGUUGUGAGAUUGUAUGGUAUUCCUAGAACUACCCUUAGUGAUAGGGAUGUGAAAUUUUUUAGUUUCUUUUAGAAAGUGUUAGGGGAAAAGUUAGGCACCAAAUUAUGUUUCUCUACUACUUGUCAUCCACAGUCGGAUGGACAAACUAAAGUUGUGAAUAGGACUAUAGGAACAUUGUUGUGUGCCAUGGUUAAACAAAACUUGAAAUCU